GCUGCUGCGUCCAAGCUGGGUGCUCUCCGAGCGCAGGGAGGCAGGCUGCGAUCGGCGGGGCGCAGCUGGGGGAGCCCGGGCCGGCGAACCUGCGCGCGAUCUCCGCGGGUCCCCGGCGCCGAGGCCAGGACGGCCGGCGCUUUGGCCUUGGAUGGAAAUGGGGACUGGUCCUCCGGGCCCUCUACCGUGGAUUACUUGGUGCAUCUCUGCCGGGCUUGAUGAACCACGACCUCGUCUCCAUCCGUGGAUUGGUGCGUGCUACCCAAUAGUCGGGUCGUUUCCCUGGAGCCUAAGGAUCUCCAGUGAUUUCUUUGAGCCUAAUGAUGGGGAAGCUGAGAAUGGAGCUAUUAUUUUUAAACACCUUUUGAAAUACUACUCUUCCUGGUUUAUGAAGUGAAAUCAGAGG
rnacentral:lncRNA from 1 species